AUUGAACGCUGGCGGCAGGCCUAACACAUGCAAGUCGAACGGUAACAGGAAGAAGCUUGCUUCUUUGCUGACGAGUGGCGGACGGGUGAGUAAUGUCUGGGAAACUGCCUGAUGGAGGGGGAUAACUACUGGAAACGGUAGCUAAUACCGCAUAACGUCUCAAGACCAAAGAGGGGGACCUUCGGGCCUCUUGCCAUCGGAUGUGCCCAGAUGGGGUUAGCUAGUAGGUGGGGUAACGGCUCCCCUGGGGUACGAUCCCUAGCUGGUCUGAGAGGAAGACAGGCCCCCCGGGAACUGGACCCCGCUCCCGGCUCCUACGGGAGGGCGCAGUGGGGAAUAUUGCACAAUGGGGGGAAGCCUUAUGCAACCAUGGCGAGUGUAAGAAGGAGGCCUUCCGGUUGGAAAAUACUUUCAGCGGGGAGGAAGGGAGUAAAGUUAAUACCUUUGCUCAUUGACGUUACCCGCAGAAGAAGCACCGGCUAACUCCGUG
rnacentral:rRNA from 1 species